rnacentral:rRNA from 1 species
GACGAACGCUGGCGGCGUGCUUAACACAUGCAAGUCGGACGGAAAGGCCCUGCUUUUGUGGGGUGCUCGAGUGGCGAACGGGUGAGUAACACGUGAGUAACCUGCCCUUGACUUUGGGAUAACUUCAGGAAACUGGGGCUAAUACCGGAUAGGAGCUCCUGCUGCAUGGUGGGGGUUGGAAAGUUUCGGCGGUUGGGGAUGGACUCGCGGCUUAUCAGCUUGUUGGUGGGGUAGUGGCUUACCAAGGCUUUGACGGGUAGCCGGCCUGAGAGGGUGACCGGCCACAUGGGUACUGAGGUACGGCCCAGUGUUCUACAGGAUGCAGCAGUCGGGAACAUUGCACAGUGGGCGGAAGCCUGAGGCGACAACGCCGCGUGCGGGAAGACGGCCUUCGGGUUGUAAACCGCUUUCGCCUGUGACGAAGCGUGAGUGACGGUAAUGUGUAAAGAAGCACCGGCUAACUACGUG